rnacentral:rRNA from 1 species
AUUGAACGCUGGCGGCAUGCCUUACACAUGCAAGUCGAACGGCAGCACGGGAGCAAUCCUGGUGGCGAGUGGCGAACGGGUGAGUAAUAUAUCGGAACGUGCCCAGUCGUGGGGGAUAACGUAGCGAAAGCUACGCUAAUACCGCAUACGAUCUAUGGAUGAAAGCGGGGGAUCGCAAGACCUCGCGCGAUUGGAGCGGCCGAUAUCAGAUUAGGUAGUUGGUGAGGUAAAGGCUCACCAAGCCGACGAUCUGUAGCUGGUCUGAGAGGACGACCAGCCACACUGGGACUGAGACACGGCCCAGACUCCUACGGGAGGCAGCAGUGGGGAAUAUUGGACAAUGGGCGAAAGCCUGAUCCAGCAAUGCCGCGUGAGUGAUGAAGGCCUAGGUUGUAAGCUCUUUUACCCGGGAUGAUAAUGACAGUACCGGGAGAAUAAGCU